GAAGCAAGCACUGUGCUUCCUGUAGCUGGAGUCAAGGGUGGCUUUGAGCCACGGUGGGUGUACUGUCCCUGCUGUGAGAGCCGCAGAAGGGGACAGGCUUCCUCCCCACUGGUGCUUAAUAUGAGCUUUGGGUGCCUGCUUCCAGGAGAAAAUCCCGAAAGACUCACUGAAGCCUGAGGCAGCUCGCUACCUGGAGCGGCUCAUCAAGCUGGGCCGGAGAAACGGGCUCCACUUACCUCAGGACACACAGGAGAAGAUCAAGAACAUCAAGAAGAGGCUGAGCCUGCUGUGCAUCGACUUCAACAAGAACCUGAAUGAGGACACCACCUUCCUGCCCUUCACGAGAGAGGAGCUGGGCGGGCUCCCCGAGGACUUCCUGAACUCCCUGGAGAAGACAGAGGACGGCAAACUGAAGGUCACCCUCAAGUAUCCACACUAUUUCCCACUGCUGAAGAAGUGCCACGUGCCCGAGACACGACGCCUGUUGGAGGAGGCCUUCAACUGUCGCUGCAAGGAGGAGAACUGUGCCAUCCUGAAGGAGCUAGUGUCCCUGCGGGCGCAGAAGUCCAACCUGCUGGGAUUCCGCACACACGCAGACUACGUCCUGGAGAUGAACAUGGCCAAGACCAGUCAGACAGUAGCCACCUUCCUAGAUGAACUGGCCCGGAAGCUGAAGCCGCUGGGUGAGCAG
rnacentral:lncRNA from 1 species